GUUGCCAUCUGGCCAUUGAGAGUGAUAAUAGAGUACAUUUCAAUGAACAGGCACAAUGGGCAGAACAAAUGGACAUAAGGUGGGGAUUCCAUGUGCCAUAUAAUCCACAAGCUGUGGGUAUGAUUGAGCAAUAUAACAGGCUCUUGAAGAAUGGGUUACACUUGCACGUUACAUCCAUGUCUUUGCAGGACUGGAGUUCCAGGCUGGACCUGGUUCUCCAAACCUUGAAUGAACAGCCACAGAAGAGUGGCCCGGCCCCGGUGGAGGCAUUGUUACACUGGGCCGCUGCCCCCAUUCAGUUGCAGAUACAUACCAAGGAUGACCUCCACUGUCCAGUAAGAAGAGCAAAACUCAGACACAGAUACACAGGAGCGUAGCAUGUGAAGACAGAGGCAGAGACUGGAGUGAUGCAUGUAUAAGUUAAGAAACCCUAGGGCUACCAGAAGAUGAAAGAAACAAGGAAGGAUACUCCCUUGAAGGCCUCAGAGGGAGCAUGGCUCUGCUGACUCCUUGGUUUCAGGCAUCUGGUCUCCACAACUGUGAGUAUACCUUUCUGUAGUCAUAACCCUCCUGGUUUGUGGGAAUUUGUGAUGGCAACCCUAGCAAAAUAAUACAGGGUGAAAAUAAUUAUAAGCAAAACAACUCAAUCGCUACAGUAACUCAGUUAAGAAACCAAAAAGAUGUCUUCUAAAAUUAAUUUCAUGAUGUCGUACUCUGAUUCUAUUUCUUGAUACUAUUGACUAAGGGAAUAUUUCAACUAGGGACUUUCAUUUGUCCUGAAGGUGGCAAUAGAUUGUGUUAAACACCGAGGGCAAGACAAGCCUUCAUAAAAGAAAGCUGGAUGGUAGAAUGUAGAACUGAGACAGAAGAGGCAUUGCCUUUCUAGGCCUUGACCUCUGGGAUCUAAUGUACCGGAAAUAUAACUGAUAAAGACAAAAAGUAGGGAAAUACUGGGUAAAAGAGGAUGUUUCCCAGCAACAGCCCCACCUUCCAGCCUGGAAACCUGUGGCCCUAAAUAGGAACAGGCAUUCCUGUUUUCACUCCCAAAGGUGACCUUUUGGCCCACCACACACCCCCUAUCCUGUACCAUAUAAACCCAAAGCCCCAGGCUCCACAGCAGAAGAGCACAGGAACAGAAGAACAGUGCAGCAGAAAAGGAGAGAAGAGAAAGGGUGUCUGAACAUUGAGAGGUGUUCAGCUGGUGAUGGUCAGAGAGGAGAUCGCCAUGGGACGGUCAAACUUCAGGGGAAGAUCAUAUUCCCACUCCUUACCAUUUCCAGCUCCCCAUUCAUCCUGCUGACAGCCACCUCCAUCUGGCAAUAAAAUCCCCUGCAUUUACCAUCCUUCAAUUUGUCUGUGUGACCUGAUUCUUUCUGGAUGCCCAACAACAGCCCAGAUACCAAGAGGGCACUGAGCUGGUUAAACUUAAGCCACCUGCAAAUGGCAGAGCCGAAAGAGCACUAUAAUAUGCCAAUGGGGGCUUCAGAAGUCACAGGAACCCACCCCUAGAUGCUACUGUGGGGCUGGAGCCCCAAAGCACUCACCCUGGCUCCUGCACCUGCCCAUCUGCAUGUUCCCCUCCCAUAUGGGGUUUGAGCACGUGGCAGCCAAGCAGAUGAGCCACAUCCUUGUGGCACAUGCUGCAAGGGAGUUCAGGGAACUCUCCUGUUUCAUAACCGUAGUUGAAAGUAACUUUCCAUUGUUUCCGGUUAACAAUAUCCUUGCAGUUUUCUAGCUUUUAUUCAUUUGUUUAUUGGUGAUACUGAAUAGUUAGAAAAAAAAUAGGGGGGCAUGGCAUUACGUAAUAUUUUUUAGAUGCAAAAAUAGUAAGUGUUAAUUGUUCUUACAACAAAAAUGUUAGCUGUAUGAAGUAAUUACUUAGACUUAACCACUCCAUAAUGUAUAUAUACUUCAAAACAUCAUGUACAUGAUAAAUACAUAUAAUCAUAUCAGUCAAUUAAAAAUAUUACUAAAAUACAUAAAUAAGAAAUGCUGCUCUGGUCAUGGACUAUGGGCUAAUGAGAAUAAAGAGACACUGAGAUCUGGGAAAUGAACUGUAUGGUUGUUGUUGCAAAGUUCUAACUGAAUGACGUGCGAACUAUAAUCUGUAGAAGAUAAGCUACAGGCUACUUGAAUUUUAGAGAACAGAAACAUAGUACUGAAGGAUGCAUGAAGUAUUUUUAAUGUUUUAAGAAAAUGAAAGAGAAAGAGAGAGGGAAAACCUUAACAUUUACUCACAAGACUGUUAACACUGCUCAAAAACUUUCAGGUUUAUUUGGUUUUGUCUUAAGUGAAAUGAACUUAGUUUUUAAACCUUGAAUAACUAAUUGGAAACAUAAAAUGCUUUACCACCCAUUAAUUUUUAAUGAGUAAAACAGUGUGUUAAGGGAAAACAACAGAAGGGAUUUUGACGGUAGCAGCUCAGGGUCAUUGCCUUAGGUCUGGUUCUUUCUACACCUUGCUUACUCAGAGAUGGCCUGCUCCCCACAGCCUGCUCAAUCAGCAAUCUCAAUUAUAGGGAGAAAGAGAACCAAGGUUAUUUCUUCUUGCUUCAGAACUGAGAAUAAUUUUAAUUUCAGAGAAAUAUGUAACUGCCACUCUGAUUUAUAGAAGAAUAUGUGCAUAUAAGAGUUAAAAGAAUUCCAAAAGUGAUGUAGUUUAUUUAUUGCCAAAAUAUGAAGCUAAUUUAUAUUCAUUUAUACUGAAAGUAGGGCACACUUGACAGCUAUUAAUCCAUACAGUAAUUAACAUUUGCUUUGCAAGCUGAAGAUAAUAUAAAAAGCUAAUGCUGCGAUAUAAAAUGUUUCAAUGGAUCAUAAUUAACACAAACUUUGGUUUCUGAUUAAUCAUUUUUUCUUAGAUUAUUUUAUAAAUUAUGCCUAAAUAAUGAAAAGGAAUAUAAAAUUUUGAUACUAAAUGAUGGAAGUCCAAAAAUGAAUUAUAAUUUUACUUUGCUAUUAUUUUC
rnacentral:lncRNA from 1 species